AUUAAUAAUGGCUACUGGUAGUCAAAUGGUACUGGAAGUAAAAAAGGAAUAAAUUGAAUACUUCUUCCAAGUGGUUUACAUGAGGACAAAAAAAUAGACCGUAGUUUUUAAGCUAC
rnacentral:sRNA from 1 species